rnacentral:rRNA from 1 species
UGUGUGUUAGUGGAAGCGUCUGGAAAGGCGCGCGAUACAGGGUGACAGCCCCGUACACAAAAAUGCACAUGCUGUGAGCUCGAUGAGUAGGGCGGGACACGUGGUAUCCUGUCUGAAUAUGGGGGGACCAUCCUCCAAGGCUAAAUACUCCUGACUGACCGAUAGUGAACCAGUACCGUGAGGGAAAGGCGAAAAGAACCCCGGCGAGGGGAGUGAAAAAGAACCUGAAACCGUGUACGUACAAGCAGUGGGAGCACGCUUAGGCGUGUGACUGCGUACCUUUUGUAUAAUGGGUCAGCGACUUAUAUUCUGUAGCAAGGUUAACCGAAUAGGGGAGCCGAAGGGAAACCGAGUCUUAACUGGGCGUUAAGUUGCAGGGUAUAGACCCGAAACCCGGUGAUCUAGCCAUGGGCAGGUUGAAGGUUGGGUAACACUAACUGGAGGACCGAACCGACUAAUGUUGAAAAAUUAGCGGAUGACUUGUGGCUGGGGGUGAAAGGCCAAUCAAACCGGGAGAUAGCUGGUUCUCCCCGAAAGCUAUUUAGGUAGCGCCUCGUGAAUUCAUCUCCGGGGGUAGAGCACUGUUUCGGCAAGGGGGUCAUCCCGACUUACCAACCCGAUGCAAACUGCGAAUACCGGAGAAUGUUAUCACGGGAGACACACGGCGGGUGCUAACGUCCGUCGUGAAGAGGGAAACAACCCAGACCGCCAGCUAAGGUCCCAAAGUCAUGGUUAAGUGGGAAACGAUGUGGGAAGGCCCAGACAGCCAGGAUGUUGGCUUAGAAGCAGCCAUCAUUUAAAGAAAGCGUAAUAGCUCACUGGUCGAGUCGGCCUGCGCGGAAGAUGUAACGGGGCUAAACCAUGCACCGAAGCUGCGGCAGCGACACUAUGUGUUGUUGGGUAGGGGAGCGUUCUGUAAGCCUGUGAAGGUGUGCUGUGAGGCAUGCUGGAGGUAUCAGAAGUGCGAAUGCUGACAUAAGUAACGAUAAAGCGGGUGAAAAGCCCGCUCGCCGGAAGACCAAGGGUUCCUGUCCAACGUUAAUCGGGGCAGGGUGAGUCGACCCCUAAGGCGAGGCCGAAAGGCGUAGUCGAUGGGAAACAGGUUAAUAUUCCUGUACUUGGUGUUACUGCGAAGGGGGGACGGAGAAGGCUAUGUUGGCCGGGCGACGGUUGUCCCGGUUUAAGCGUGUAGGCUGGUUUUCCAGGCAAAUCCGGAAAAUCAAGGCUGAGGCGUGAUGACGAGGCACUACGGUGCUGAAGCAACAAAUGCCCUGCUUCCAGGAAAAGCCUCUAAGCAUCAGGUAACAUCAAAUCGUACCCCAAACCGACACAGGUGGUCAGGUAGAGAAUACCAAGGCGCUUGAGAGAACUCGGGUGAAGGAACUAGGCAAAAUGGUGCCGUAACUUCGGGAGAAGGCACGCUGAUAUGUAGGUGAAGCGACUUGCUCGUGGAGCUGAAAUCAGUCGAAGAUACCAGCUGGCUGCAACUGUUUAUUAAAAACACAGCACUGUGCAAACACGAAAGUGGACGUAUACGGUGUGACGCCUGCCCGGUGCCGGAAGGUUAAUUGAUGGGGUCAGCGCAAGCGAAGCUCUUGAUCGAAGCCCCGGUAAACGGCGGCCGUAACUAUAACGGUCCUAAGGUAGCGAAAUUCCUUGUCGGGUAAGUUCCGACCUGCACGAAUGGCGUAAUGAUGGCCAGGCUGUCUCCACCCGAGACUCAGUGAAAUUGAACUCGCUGUGAAGAUGCAGUGUACCCGCGGCAAGACGGAAAGACCCCGUGAACCUUUACUAUAGCUUGACACUGAACAUUGAGCCUUGAUGUGUAGGAUAGGUGGGAGGCUUUGAAGUGUGGACGCCAGUCUGCAUGGAGCCGACCUUGAAAUACCACCCUUUAAUGUUUGAUGUUCUAACGUUGACCCGUGAUCCGGGUUGCGGACAGUGUCUGGUGGGUAGUUUGACUGGGGCGGUCUCCUCCUAAAGAGUAACGGAGGAGCACGAAGGUUGGCUAAUCCUGGUCGGACAUCAGGAGGUUAGUGCAAUGGCAUAAGCCAGCUUGACUGCGAGCGUGACGGCGCGAGCAGGUGCGAAAGCAGGUCAUAGUGAUCCGGUGGUUCUGAAUGGAAGGGCCAUCGCUCAACGGAUAAAAGGUACUCCGGGGAUAACAGGCUGAUACCGCCCAAGAGUUCAUAUCGACGGCGGUGUUUGGCACCUCGAUGUCGGCUCAUCACAUCCUGGGGCUGAAGUAGGUCCCAAGGGUAUGGCUGUUCGCCAUUUAAAGUGGUACGCGAGCUGGGUUUAGAACGUCGUGAGACAGUUCGGUCCCUAUCUGCCGUGGGCGCUGGAGAACUGAGGGGGGCUGCUCCUAGUACGAGAGGACCGGAGUGGACGCAUCACUGGUGUUCGGGUUGUCAUGCCAAUGGCACUGCCCGGUAGCUAAAUGCGGAAGAGAUAAGUGCUGAAAGCAUCUAAGCACGAAACUUGCCCCGAGAUGAGUUCUCCCUGACNGUCCUGAAGGAACGUUGAAGACGACGACGUUGAUAGGCCGGGUGUGUAAGCGCAGCGAUGCGUUGAGCUAACCGGUACUAAUGAACCGUGAGGCUUAACCUU